rnacentral:misc_RNA from 1 species
AAAAUGCGAUAAGUAAUGUGAAUUGCAGAAUUCAGUGAAUCAUCGAAUCUUUGAACGCACAUUGCGCCCGCCAGUAUUCUUGCGGGCAUGCCUGUUCGAUCGUCAUUUCAACCCUCAAGCUCAGCUUGGUGUUGGGACUCGCGGUAACCCGCGUUCCCCAAAUCGAUUGGCGGUCACGUCGAGCUUCCAUAGCGUAGUAAUCAUACACCUCGUUACUGGUAAUCGUCGCGGCCACGCCGUAAAACCCCAACUUCUGAAUGUUGACCUCGGAUCAGGUAGGAAUACCCGCUGAACUUAAGC